rnacentral:lncRNA from 1 species
GUGAAAUUCGGACCAUGUGUAUUUGUUUUUUGUGUUUUGACCAUGUGUGUCUUGCCUUCUCAGAGGUUACAUAAUCUUAAAUUCACAGGAUUCUUGUUAGGUAGUGACAUAAAAUGCCUUAUAAAUUUUUGUUCACAGAAACAAGACCAACCAGAUGACAUUGCCUGCUGGCGGAGGGAGGAUGCAGACUAGCAGGAAGAAAACCAUACUAGCUCUCCCAGGGUGAUGUCCAUCUCCAAAAAAUGAACAUUUCAUGUGAUGUCCCAUAACUGCUCCUUGCUCUGGUCUAUCUUCGUUUUAAUUAAAACUCAGGAUCUACUUCCGGGGAAUCCAGCCCGAGACCCUGGCAAACCCAAGGCUUUUCCACCAGCCCCGUCUCCUCAGGAUUUGCCCGCUGCCUUCUGUGUCAGUCUCCAGCACUGCGGCGCGAGAAUUCUGGGUAAGUGUCUGGAAUUAACUUCUACCUAAUGCUAUAGUUCAUUACAUGUAGAACUGCAAAUAUUCCUACAAAGGUAUCCUUGUGCCUUGGCAUGUUCCCGCCAAGUCCAAUAAUGGUGACUUACAGAAGGAUUUAUUUUCA